rnacentral:rRNA from 1 species
AUGCUCCUCGUAGCCACCGACGCGACCAUCUCCUGUGGACAGGUGAGCUCUACCUUGAAUCCCUGCAUCUCCUAUGCCAGCAGCAACGGCGCCAACCCGACUACGGCCUGCUGCAGCUGUGUCAGCAGUGUGGCCAGCGCAGCACGGAGCACCGCUGACGAGCAAGUGGCGUGCAAGUGCAUCAAGAGCGCUCCCGGUGGGCUCAACGCUGGCAACGCCGCCGACAUUCCCUUCAAGUGUGGCGUCAACAUUCCCUACGCCAUCAGCUCUUCCGUCGACUGCUCUAAGAUUUGUUGA